GGUGGGGCAGCUGGAGCUGUGACAUGGGGCUGAUGGUGCCACCCUGCAGACAAGCUGCUCCAGAACAUGGGGAAAGUCUGUGGAGCAUGUGAACAACCCACUGACCUCUGGGCUGCUGGGCCACCUGCUGUCCCAAGGGGUUCUGAGCCUCAGUGGGGUGGAAGAGGUGCAGGAUCAAUGCAGGAUGUGCGUGGAUAGGCUCAGCUCCUCAUUGACACCGUGCUCCAAGGGCCCAGCCACAGCUCCACUGACAGCCUCAGGAUGGCACCUUGGCUGAGCAGCUGGGCCUGGCUGCUGACUUGGGUGAGUGAUGAGGGGCCAUCGUCUGCUCCCAGACAUGCUGGGGCUCCCAGAACCUCCAGUGGGAUGCUGGAAUGGGUCCCAGCCCCGGGGAGUGUCCAACGCUGGAAAGCAAGGGGCAGUUGGGUGUCUCUGGUGUCACUGCUCUGAGCCCCCCUAUGCUGUGACAACAGGGCUUUUGGGGGUGGCUGUCCCUUGCAGGGCUGAACAGGGACCCCCCAGGGUCAUCAACAGGCUCCAUUUUCAUCUAGUGCCUGCCAGAGCAGUUUCAAACCACGCCUGUAACAGCCACUUAGAGGAGCUCUUCCUGAAGGUCCAACAAUGCUUUGCUAAAUUCCCUCAGCAGAUGCCACCAGAUGGACGUUCCAUCUCUUCCCAGGCCACUGACCUCCUGUCUCUUCACCUCACAACUCUGUGGCAGCCUUUUGUCCGUGCCCCAAACCUGAGACCUGGCCAGCAGGAAGGAGUGGGGAGAAAUUCCCCAUUGACCCUGGGCUCCAGAGCUCAUGGCUUGGUCCAAAGGUCUUGUGUGCUGAUAGCUGGGGCCAGGCCUCACCCCCCAGCUGGCUGGUGGCACCCAAGGGACUAGUUUCAGUAGCCAGUGGCUCAGGAACUUCUUGGUCUGAUGUUCUUCACUGGUGAAGAAAUAAUACACAGAGAGCAAAAGUGUUUGAAUUCGAGGUAACAUAGCAGGAAGCUCAAGGCCAGCACAGCCCUGCUCCUGAAAAAUGCACUUUGUCAGAAAAGGACAAGGGGAAGAGACAAGAACAGCUCUGCAGGAACACAGCGAAUCGCCCAACCAGCCCCUGGUGCCCCCUCUGCCAGCCAACUACAGCCAGGCCUGGAAUAAAACAUCCUUGGCCUGCCAUCCUCCCUCCCCUUUGGGGCCUCCCAACAACCUCAGAUUGAGCAAACUCAUCCUGGGGAGCACCAAGUGCAAAGCUGGUUAGUGUCUCUCUUCACUGUCCCUACACAGAGCCUACCCCAAGCUGUGACAGAGAUGAUGUGUCACCCCCACAGCCACUUCCACUCCAUCCCUGGCUUUACCCAUUGUCCAAUAAAGGGAUUUUUGCAGCAGA